rnacentral:tRNA from 1 species
GGCUUGGUGGUCUACAUAAUGGUAUGAUUCUUGCUUAGGGUAUGUGUGGGGUUUUACCCCCUUCACUUUCUAUCUGUCUAUCUGUGUCUGUCCUCGACGACGAUUGAAAAUGCAAGAGGUUCCGGGUUCGAUUGCCGGCUAAGCCC